UUGGGCUCUUUAGAUUGCACAAAAUGUGACCCAUAAAUGAGCAUGAACCCUGAAGCAAAACAUCUCAAAUGACUGGCGCAGUGGGAGGCUGCUCAUAAAACACUUCCAUCCAACAAACACACACACGCUGGCAGGCAGCUUGUCUCAAAUCUCUUGGAUCAAAUCAUUCUUGAAUGCUAAGCAGCACAGUCUGUUGUUUUGUUGUCCAUGUUGCUAAGCGACCAUCAGCAAGUCAAAGGCUGAGAGAAAAGACAAAUCCCAAAAGAAAAUGAGACGUGGUGGAGGGCAGGAAAUUGCAAGUUUUUAAAAGCCAGUCAAUGUGGGACACGAGGUCUCUCGAGAAGAUGGUGAAUAGGACGACUCUAAGCACACAGAGAGUGCUCCAUGCACACAUUCUGGAACUAGGGGAACAGUUAUGUCCAUGGUCAUCUCCCAGUGCUCCAAAUCUGGUCAAUCCACAGCCUGUGACUGAACAAGAGCAGCCUGACGUCCCCACCAUGGAGGAAUUUAAGCAGCUGGCAGAGAAGGAGAAACACGCUGCCCUUAAACUCCAAGAGGAGAGUCUGCAGGCCCGGUUUCAAGAGGCCCUGCAAGCAAGGGACAGGCUGGAGGCUGAAAUGAGGCGAGAGCUCCAGGUCGAGCUGCAGGCCCAGUUCAGAGCUCGAUUUCAAGGCCUGAGGGCUCAGAUGGAGGAAGACAAGGUCCAGGCCGUAGGGGAGGCCUGCAGGAAGCGGCAAGAACAGCUGCACAAAGAAGCAGAGGAGACCAGAGAGAAAAUAAUACACACUGUACGAGAAGAGACACAGGAGUGUGUGAGGAGGUGUGUGCAGGAUGCUGAGAGAAGCAUUCGUGAGGAGUGUGACAUGAAGGCAGAAAGACAGAAACAGGCCCUACAGGACAGACAUGAAGAGAAGAUAUCUAAGCUACAAAACAGGAUACAGCAGCUGCAGGACAGUCUGGAGCAGGCCUGCAGGGAGCGCAUUCAGUAUGAAGCAGAGUUUAAGAAGGUGCAGGCCAGCUACAGGCGGUUUGUGGACCUGACUGAUUCCUCCCUCCACUCUGAUUACCUCUUAAAACUGCGCAGACUGGGGAGAGAGCCAGGUCUCACGGACACUGCGACACAGACUGAUGAGAUCACCUCCUAGCUUGUGAUGGCAGUGUGCACACUGUCUGGGUAUUUGACAUGUCAUAGCAGUCACAGCAGUGUCCUGCACGACACGCUGUACUUUGUCUAAAACCAUUUGAAACAUGUAUUAAUGUUAAAAGAUUGUGGUAUCUAAAAUAUACUUUCACUAAUACAUUUAUCUUUACAAAGUAUUUUUUAGUAAUGAAACAUGUCAACUCUUUCAUAAUAAAUAGAAUAUGUAUUGUGUUGCAAGAUAAAAUCUAGUACAGCACAUUUUGCUGUCUGCAUGUAAAACUAUGUUGAACUAAUUGGUUUAUCAGAUCAAAUUUUAAUAAAUAAUUCUGCAUAUUUAAUACCCUAUUAGUCUUAUUUUACAUUAUAGUGUAGUGAUUGACACUACUGAUGAACAACAUAUUAAAUAUGUAAUAUUUUC
ensembl:lncRNA